rnacentral:tRNA from 1 species
GGAGAGAUGGCUCAGUGGUUAAGAGCCAGAUGUCCUGAGUUCAAUUCCCAGCCACUCCA